rnacentral:rRNA from 1 species
AUGGCGGGCUGGACCAGUGAUAGUGAUGACAGUGAUAAGUUUGAGUGGGACAAUGAUGGUGUGGCUGAGCCCUCAUCGGCUCCGGCUAUGAGGAACUUCGAUUCUCCUGGCCCAUCCACGCUUGGUUCUAAUGAGUGGAUCAACGGGGAAGUGCUGCCUACUUCUUUGAUCGAGCGAUAUGUGGUAAUGGGCUUCCCCAAAGAGAUGGUCAUGAAGAGUAUUAAGGAGAUUGGACAUAGUGAUGCAGAUGCACUGCUCGAGCUACUGCUCACAUAUAAGGCACUAGAUGACGAUGAUGCAGGGGGUAAUAAUCACUCUACUUCUGGCUGCAUCCUCCCUGUUGUUGAAGAUGACGAUGAUCUUGAUUUUGAGAACUGGGAUGGCGAUGAUGAUGCUGGUGGUAGAGAGUCAAGCUCUGAUGAUUCUGGUUAUGAGAUAGAUGAUUACUUAUCUUCAGAUUUUCUGCGAGAGAUGUCAGAGAGGGAUGAGAAGAUCAAGUCAUUGGUAAACAUGGGCUUUUCUGAAGAUGAAGCAAAUGAGGCUAUUAUAAGAUGUGGUGUGGAUGCUGAUAUCUGUGUAUUAGUUGAUUCGGUUAGUGCAUCUCGGGUCGCAGAAGAUUGUCAUUCCAGAAACUUAUCUGACCAUCAGGUUACAGACAGAUGCUUCAAUUCCUUUGGAGGCAGAAAGAAAGCAAGAUUGAUGGAAGAGAGCAGGAAAAAGAGGAAGAGGUAUGGGGGUGGAGGACAAGGCAAUCGACCUUCCUUGGAUGGCAGCGAUGAGGAUUCAAUGCCUCUACCAAAUCCAAUGGUUGGAUUUAACCUGCCUGGUUACAGUGGACCAUCAGUGACCCGAAUGCUUUCUAAACUAGAUACCGGACCACCUUUUUUCUAUUACGAAAAUGUGGCCCGAGCUCCAAAAGGUGAAUGGGCGAAAAUUUCAAGAAAUCUGUUUGACAUUCAGCCAGAGUUUGUGGAUUCUCUUCAUCUGUGUGCAGCUGCAAGGAAAAGGGGUUACAUCCACAAUUUGCCAAUUGAGAACAGAUCGCCUCUUCUUCCUCUGCCCCCAAAGACAAUAUUUGAGGCAUUUCCUCAUUACAAGAAGUGGUGGCCUUCCUGGGACACGAGAACACAUCUCAAUUGCUUACAAACAUGUGUAGCAAGUGCAAAGCUGACAGACCGGAUCCAGCGUGCUCUUGUAAGCUCAAGCAAUCCGCCGACAAAAAGUGUUCAAAAAUAUGUCAUGGACGAGUGCAAAAAAUGGAAUCUUGUCUGGGUUGGGAAAAACAAGGUUGCCCCAUUGGAGCCUGAUGAGAUGGAAUAUAUACUUGGUUUCCCUAGGGACCACACAAGGGGGGUUGGCAAGACACAGCGAUACAAGUCUCUCGGCAACUCAUUUCAAGUUGAUACAGUUGCUUACCACUUGUCAGUGCUGAGGCGCAUGUUUCCCAAUGGUGUUCGUGUGCUGUCCUUAUUCACCGGUAUUGGAGGAGGAGAGGUAGCUCUGCACAAGCUUGGGAUCCACAUGAGGGUAGUGGUUUCGGUUGAGAUAGGUGAAGCUAGUAAGAAGAUUUUCAAAAGUUGGUGGGAUCAGACCCAGACAGGCACAUUGAUUGAGAUUACUGAUGUGAAAUCUCUCACAAAUGAUAGAGUUGCAUCAUUUAUUAGUCAAUUUGGUGGCUUUGACUUGGUGAUUGGGGGCAGCCCAUGUAACAAUCUUGCCGGAAGCAACCGACACCACCGUGAUGGCUUGGAGGGCAAGCACUCAGCUUUGUUUUAUGACUAUGUCAGAAUCUUGAAUUUCGUCAAGUCGGCCAUGGGAGGACGUAGGAUGUAG